GAUGAACGCUAGCUACAGGCUUAACACAUGCAAGUCGAGGGGUAACAAGAGGAAAGCUUGCUUUUCUUGUUGACGACCGGCGCGCGGGUGAGUAACGCGUUUCCAACCUGCCUAUAACUAGGGAAUAACCUUGCGAAAGUAAGACUAAUACCCUAUGAUUUCCUUUGAUGACAUCAGAUUAGGAAUAAAGAUUUAUCGGUUAUAGAUGGGGAUGCGUCUGAUUAGCUUGUUGGCGGGGUAACGGCCCACCAAGGCAACGAUCAGUAGGGGUUCUGAGAGGAAGGUCCCCCACAUUGGAACUGAGACACGGUCCAAACUCCUACGGGAGGCAGCAGUGAGGAAUAUUGGUCAAUGGGCGGAAGCCUGAACCAGCCAAGUAGCGUGUAGGAUGACGGCCCUAUGGGUUGUAAACUGCUUUUAUACAGGAAUAAAGUUAGCCACGUGUGGUUAUUUGUAGGUACUGUAUGAGUAAGGACCGGCUAAUUCCGUGCCAGCCGCCGCCGUAA
rnacentral:rRNA from 1 species